AUUCAGUGAAGCUCACUCCAGCACAAGAUCCCAAGGACGGUCACGUGGGCUCAUCUAUGCCAAGCUUAACAUUCCAUCUCUGAUUGCCUGAUCCAUGUCAGACUAAUCAAAUCAGAGACCCGGAGUUUCUGUCCAUGUCCAAUGUAUUCAAGAUUCUUCUGCAAAUCUGAACAGUCGGCACUGCAAAAUUCUAUCGCACUUGAGAAAAAGGAACAGAAAAACAACCUCUGUGUAUUUGGGAAAAGGGCAGGAUUGUAUGCUGAGCCCAGAACUAUAGCUGGGCAAUGGGAAAAAACACUGAAAUAAACACAUCUCUGAAGCCUAGAAAUAUCAUGUCUGCCUAAGACCGAAACUUAUCUACGGCAACAGAGAUUACUCAUCCCACCACUAGGCUAAAAACGUUAAAUAAUAAGAAAGCCUGAAGUACAUGGAGGAAAGAAGAAAUCCAUUUGAAUGGAAGAAGCAUUCCAAGUGACAGAAUGUAUCAGAACAUUUAAAGAAGAAAGAAGGACAUCAUUUUGAAUCAUGAGGCCUACUGGAAAAAUAAACAACAAAAAACAAGCAAGCAAAAUACAGUGGAGAGAGCUGAUAGAGCAGUAGAAAGUCUCCUGGAAUAUCCCCACAGGCUGCUGGUGUCUGUGAGAUACAUGACUAUAAUCCAACAUUUGUGCAAUUUCAACAAAAAACAUUUGAACAUGCAGUAAAUCACUGGAGGUUACCGGGGAAGAAAGGACCUGCAGCCUUGAACAAAAACGGAUUUAGAAAUAUGCUCAGCAAUACCAAUGAAUAGUACAAGAGAAUCUAGGAUAAAGGAAACAGACUGGAAAAUAAACCAUCCUAGAAAGAAAAGUUCAGAGAAUGAGAACCCCUGGACUGUCUCAGAAAAAAAAAAAAAAAAAGAAAAGAAAAAAACAGAAACGCAACAUGCUCUAAAAAGGAAUAUUUAACCUGGAUUAAUUCAUAAAAUAAUAGGAGAAAAUUUUUGCAGCCAGAAUACUAUGAAUUUGAGUUGUUUGAAGAACAACCUCAUCUUUUAAAGCAGAGAAGUUUUCUCGGAUAUGUUUUCCAGAAUGCCAAAUCGUAAGUAAAUUGAUGCGAAAACUGUGGCUCAAAAGUUAUGUUGCUUGUUAGACAUCAGCAGACAUUUAAGUGGUAAGCACAAGAUGUGAACACAACUCUUCUCUAUUAAACCUAUUAGACCUGCACAGCCCAAUAUGACAG